rnacentral:rRNA from 1 species
AUGGAGGCGGCAAUCGGCGCGGCGAACGGGCUCAUUAGCAGCGUGCUGAACCACCUGUCUAAUGAGUUCGUGGAGGCCUAUGUUGCCAGCUCCCAUCUCGGCCUCAACUCCGAGAAGAUCAAGGAGGAUCUCUUGCUCGCGCAAGGGCUGUUGCAAGUGGCCCAGACGAGGGUACUGAGCGACAACCAUGGUCUUCAGGGUUUGCUGCAGAGGCUCGCCAUCAAGGCCGAUGAGGCCGAGGAUGCGCUGGAUGAGCUUCACUACUUCAUCAUCCGGGACAACCUCGACAGCACCCGGCAAGCGGUGCCUGACAUGGGUGAUGACAUCCUGAGUCGUGCUCGCCAUGGUUGCAAUGCUCUUCGCCACACUGUCGGUAACUGCCUUGCGUGCUUUUCUUGUUCACGCAUCAAAUAUGGUGAUGAUGGUGUUGCUGCUGAUGUCAUUCCUGAUAACUCACCCAAUGCCACUGGAAACCCUGGUAGUGGUGAUAAUGAUGGUCCAGUUGAUAAGUUGACAUUUGAUAGAGUUGCCAUGUCCAAAAAAAUCAAGUCAGUGAUAGAGGAAAUACAUUCCCUAUGUGACAGUGUGUCCAAGUUGCUCCCCAUGAUUCCGUACCAUAGCACCACCACAACAAUCACCCGAAGCCAUCGUGUCACAGGAUCAACCACUACACAGAAAAAUUUGCAUGGGAGGACAACCCUUUUGAAUAAAACCAUAGAUGACAUUCUCACUACUGCCACUGAGCACCCUGAAACCCUUCCCGUUCUUCCUAUUGUUGGCCCAGGGGGUAUUGGAAAGACAACUUUCACCCAACACCUUUAUAAUGAUAAUAGGAUAGAAAAACACUUUGGUGUAAAGGCUUGGGUGUGUGUAUCAACAGACUUUGAUGUGGUUAAGCUCAGCCAACAAAUCCUUAGCUCCAUACAAAAAAGCAACACUUCAAAUCAAACAGACAAUUUAGAUGAGCUACAAAUAUCUAUCACACGGGAACUCAAGUGCAAAAGUAUUUUAAUCGUGUUUGAUGAUAUAUGGAAAUGCACUAGUAGCGGGUGGAAAACCCUCUUGGCUCCAUUCAGGAUGGGGGAAGCCAAGGGUAGCACAGUUCUUGUCACAACUCGAUUUCCAUAUAUUGCUGAAAUGAUGAAAACCACCAACCCAAUAGCACUGGAAGGUCUGAAGUUUGAUGACUUCUUCACAUUCUUUUCAUCAAUAUUUGGGGGAAACAAACCUGAGUAUUGCCAUGAGGACUUAGCUGAUCUUGCAAUUGAUAUUGCAAAGAAGUUGAAGGGUUCACCUCUCGCAGCCAUAACAGUUGGUCGUUUACUAAGCAAGGAAUUUUCUCGGGGACAUUGGAUGGGAGUUCUAGAAAACAACGGGUGGCAAAAACAAGAAAAUUAUGAUGACAUUAUGCCAUCAUUAAGGAUUAGCUAUGAUUACCUUCCUUUUUAUCUAAAAAAAUGCUUUUCAUAUUUUUCCUUGUUCCCUGAAGAUUUUGAAUUUAACAAGUUAGAUAUGACGUAUUUUUGGAUUGCACUGGGAAUCAUAAAAAAAGAUGAGAAUUAUAUAGAAGAAUUAGUAGAGAAUGGCUUCCUUGUGAAGGUUGUUGAUGAUGAUGAGCAACCAUACUAUGUAAUGCAUGAUUUAUUACAUGAGUUGUCUCUAAGUGUUUCCUCCCAAGAGUGCCUCAACAUACGUAGGUCAAAUUUUAGAGUUGAUGACAUCCCACAAACUGUUCGACACGUAUCUGUCACAAUGGAAGAUAGAUUUGAAGGGGGUUUUAGGGAAGAAAUGAUUAAAUUGAGGAGCAAGAUAGACAUUCGCAAUUUGCGAGCUUUGAUGAUUUUUAGGGAAUAUGAAGAAACAAUUGAUGGAUUUUUGAAAGAUAUUUUUAAGGAAAUAGAGGGUCUUCGUGUCCUAUAUAUAUUAGCGAAAUCCAAAAAAUCUUUGCCACUCAACUUUUCAAAACUUAUCCACCUGCGGUACCUAAAAAUUAUGAAACCAUUUUCACACAUUUGGCCAGAAUUGACUUUGCCUAGUGCACUAUCCAGAUUUUAUCACUUGAAAUUCUUAGACCUUAGAAGCUUUGGUAUAUGUAGGAAUUUACCUAAAGACAUUAGUCGCCUUGUCAAUUUACGCCAUCUUUUUGCUGAGAAAGAACUCCUAUCCAAUGUUCCUGGGGUCAGAAAGAUGAAAUGCUUGCAGGAGCUAAGAGAGUUCAUUGUUAAAAAAGAGAGUGUCGGAUUUGAACUGAGGGAGUUGGGGGAACUCACAGAGCUUAGUGGAGAACUCUCCAUACAUAAUCUUGAUAAGGUGGCAACCAAGGAAGAGGCUGCUGAAGCCAAACUUGUUUGUAAACGAGAUUUGAAAGAGUUGAGGUUAUUUUGGGGUAGACAACACCAACAUAGCACAGAGGAAUCUGAUGUUCUUGAUGCCCUUCAGCCGCACCCUAAUCUUGGAGCACUUAUGAUCAAAAAUCAUGGUGGUACAAGUGGUCCUAGUUGGUUGUGUGGUGACAUUAGCAUCAAAAUGUUGGGGUCUCUCCACCUAGAGGAUGUGUCUUGGGGCACCCUUCCACCUUUUGGGCAGCUGUUGCAUCUCACGUCACUCACAUUGAUCAGCAUUUCUGUAGUUCGUGAGAUCAGACCUGGCUUGUGUGGUGUUAUGGACAAUAGCUUUGUGAAUUUGAAGAGGAUUGUUCUUGAUAGAUUACCUGAAUUUGUCGAGUGGGUUGGGGGGACUAAUGCCCAAUCUUUUUCAAGGCUUGAAUCCAUCAGCUGCGAAGAUUGUCCCAAACUCUGUGUUGUGCCCUUCCUCGAGUGCUCUGUCUCUUAUGCCAAUCUGUCAAAUUUCGUUGUUGAUAAUUGCCCUAAGUUGUCCCUGCCCCCCAUGCCUCACACGCCCACACUGACAUCUUAUAUUGUGAGACAUGGUUCUACAAAGUUGUCUUAUGAUUGUAAAGGAAAUGGAAAUGUCUUGGUUAUUAAUGAGUAUAGUGGUGAGCUGGCCUGGGAUAACAUGCAUGAAGUAAAAAGAAUCAGUAUUGAAGAUCUGUCACACAUUCCAUUGAGAGAGCUCAUCAAGCUGAAAUCCCUAAUAGGUCUAUAUUUCAGCAGAUGCAACGUCACGUGGCAUGGACUGCAGGACUUCACGUGGCUCCAAGAACUUAGAGUACAAAACUGUGGCAACUUCUUUCAGUGGCCCACUGAAGCAGCUCACACCAUCAAUCCUUUCCCUGCUUCCCUCAAGUGUCUUGAGAUUGAAGGAGAGUCAAGGAUGCAGUCAAUGGCUCUGCUCUCUGACCUCACUUGUCUCACUUUCCUAAGACUGGUGAACUGUGAGAAUUUAACAGUGGAUGGAUUUAAUCCACUCAUCACGGUCAACCUUGAUACGUUGGUGGUCUGUAACAGAGAUAAGUGUCUUGGCCGCUCUGUAUCAGCGGAUCUUUUCUCGGAAUUGGCCGUAGCAAGGACCAACCUUUUCCGAUUGCGAACACUUGCAGUUGAUUGCAUCUCAGCGGUGCUUAUUGCUCCCAUCUGCGGCCUCCUCGCCACUACCCUCCGGAAUUUAAUAUUCAGGUAUGAUGAGCGGGCAGAAAGCUUCACGGGAGAGGAAGAUGGAGCUCUUCAGCUCCUCACCUCCCUCCGUUCCCUCGCAUUUGACGAUUGCCCAAAUCUGCCAUGCCUUCCUCAAGUGUUACACCUCCUUCCUUCACUUCGCUAUCUAGAGGUCGAACGUUGUCCUCAAAUCCGGUCUCUGCCCAAGGGGAGCUUCCCCACUUCGCUAAGGGUAACCAUAAUGGGUUGUUGCAGUCGCGAGCUAAAUGAGCAACUCCAGAAAUUAAUGGGAACAAACCCAGAUCUUGAUGUGCGCAUUUACGUAACUGGUCUCAGAUCCUAG